rnacentral:rRNA from 1 species
AGUGAACGCUGGCGGUAGGCCUAACACAUGCAAGUCGAACGGCAGCACAGUAAGAGCUUGCUCUUACGGGUGGCGAGUGGCGGACGGGUGAGGAAUACAUCGGAAUCUACUUUUUCGUGGGGGAUAACGUAGGGAAACUUACGCUAAUACCGCAUACGACCUACGGGUGAAAGCAGGGGAUCUUCGGACCUUGCGCGAUUGAAUGAGCCGAUGUCGGAUUCGCUAGUUGGCGGGGUAAAGGCCCACCAAGGCGACGAUCCGUAGCUGGUCUGAGAGGAUGAUCAGCCACACUGGAACUGAGACACGGUCCAGACUCCUACGGGAGGCAGCAGUGGGGAAUAUUGGACAAUGGGCGCAAGCCUGAUCCAGCCAUACCGCGUGGGUGCAGAAGGCCUUCGGGUUGUAAAGCCCUUUUGUUGGGAAAGAAAAGCAGCAGGUUAAUACCCCGCUGUUCUGACGGUACCCAAAGAAUAAGCACCGGCUAACUUCGUG